rnacentral:lncRNA from 1 species
CACAGUCUCCGGGGGCGCUGCGCGCGAAGUAGCACGUGCUUCUCGAAACACCGCAGCCCCCGGGUCCCGCCCCGCCCGGCGCGCGCACUCGAACCCGCCCAGAGAGCGGUGCGUGGCGCUGGGUGCGAGCAGGGUCUAGCCACCCCCACCCUCACCCCACCCCACCCCACCCUGCUUUUUUCAGGUUCAUCAAGGUUUGCGCAGUGGAUCCGCGGAAAAUGGGGCCAUCAGAAGGAAGCCGGUUGGUGUGAAGAGACGUCUGGGAAGAGCCCCUGGCGAGGGCCCUCAUUCCACUGGGUGACCCAGAAGGAGAAAACCGCGAUGGCGCUUCUCAUUUGAAAUGUUUUCUUUAUGGACAGUGUUUAGCAAUUGUUAUAAUGUGUACUUUUGUUGAUUGAUCUGUAUACAUAUGUAAAAUAAUUUGUUCUCUGAGUUAAUUUUGUUGGAACAAAGACUUUAGUGCUUCCUACAUUAAAACAUUUUACUGUA